rnacentral:lncRNA from 1 species
GUUGCCUUCCACUAUAUUUUAUCUUAAAAAAUUUUGAAAUACAUGCAUAAAAUCACCUACAUUUUUCAAUAGGAAGAACCUUUCUUCUCCAAUUUUUCUGUUGUAAAACUAGCAAAAGAGUCUCUCUUUGACACCUUGAAACCAGCAGCAAAAUCCCUUGAAAACCCCUUCCAAAGAGGUGUGAGAUGAAGGCUUAGGCAUGUGGGAUUUGGGGUGUCCAACUCUUGGAUGCCCUUUCCUUCUUUUUAGCGACUUGG